CCAGAGGCGGGGCUGAGGUGCGCUCCGCAGACCCGUGUCCAGGACCUCCGGCGUUUGGGGCUGGCUUUGGGGGAAACAAGGCACAGGGCGUCCUUUGUCCAAGAAAACCUCUCUGGACCACCGGCGGCAUUCGGAUUGAAGACUGGGGAAGAUCUGUCAGCUUGCCACUGUCUGCCCUCACUCCAGCUAAAGAUGCUUCACACCUGACAUCUAGAAAUUUCUCCCUGGCAGCCCUUGGCACUCAGGCACGUUGGCCCAUGAACCUGCUCAAGCAUGAGCUGCCCCAAAAAAACCAUUCAAUUUGAUGCCUGCGCCCAGGGUAGUGCUGGACCAGAGAAAGACCUCAGGUUAGAUUUUGGCAGAACAAGGAGAGGGCCAUGCCAGGUAAUUAGCUUCCUGCCGCAUUCACAUUAAUUCUCCCGCCUAAGCGGACCAGUCCCCCAGAGAAGAAUAGAGAACAAGCCCGUUGCAGCGACAGAUUCCUGCUCAAGUCCCUGGAGCAAGAUGGGGGCAGGUUAUCUAGGCUUUGGGGAUUAACCAAAAUGAGCUUCUCCGUUGGCCUAUUCUUUUUGUGACUUACCUGCUCCUGAAAUUAGGCAAAAUCAGGAAUUGAAGCACCACAGUUAGGCCAGACACCGAACCAGGCUUACAGUCAGGACCAAAACCAUUUCUUUCCUCCAGUCUGGGCCUCAGCAGCUCUUCCGCAGAAAGGAGCUAGACUGGUCCUUCUUCCCGCCUGUCCCCGCCCCGUCCCUCCUCACUGAGAAAUGGGAGGGAAGCCCUGCAGUCCCCACCACGAAGACCUGUCCCUCUACCUGCCUGGGAACGGA